rnacentral:rRNA from 1 species
GAUGAACGCUGGCGGCGUGCCUAAUACAUGCAAGUCGAGCGAACAGACGAGGAGCUUGCUCCUCUGACGUUAGCGGCGGACGGGUGAGUAACACGUGGAUAACCUACCUAUAAGACUGGGAUAACUUCGGGAAACCGGAGCUAAUACCGGAUAAUAUAUUGAACCGCAUGGUUCAAUAGUGAAAGACGGUUUUGCUGUCACUUAUAGAUGGAUCCGCGCCGCAUUAGCUAGUUGGUAAGGUAACGGCUUACCAAGGCAACGAUGCGUAGCCGACCUGAGAGGGAGGUCGGCCACACUGGAACUGAGACACGGUCCAGACUCCUACGGGAGGCAACAGUAGGGAAUCUUCCGCAAUGGGCGAAAGCCUGACGGAGCAACGCCGCGUGAGUGAUGAAGGUCUUCGGAUCGUAAAACUCUGUUAUUAGGGAAGAACAAAUGUGUAAGUAACUAUGCACGUCUUGACGGUACCUAAUCAGAAAGCCACGGCUAACUACGUG